rnacentral:lncRNA from 1 species
GUUGUAUGGCACUUUCUGGGAAUCGUGGCUUUAGGACACAUAGUGGUUACUCCAAAAGGAAUGUAUAUUAGGAAUACCCUCUCUUCCUCCUCCUUUCUCUUGGCUUUUAUUGCUGAAUAGACAUCAUAUGUUAUGGAAUAUUCUUUGUCUUUGGUCAGCCCCUUGAUCUUUUUAUGACUCUUACACCAGGUGUUUCUUCUGAAGGCUGACAACACCAGAAUGAAUAAUUGAAACACAAGAAUCAGAGAAUAUAUGGGGAGAUGAAGGUGGAACAGGCUGGUCCAGGAACUGGGUUUCUUGUCUAGAGUCAUGAUUUAUGGGACCACUCUAAAAAAGACCAGGCAAUCUCUACAGAGAGCUUCCUCCAGGUUUCCAUUCACCUUUUCCUGGGUGAAAACUGGUGGCUUAUUUAAAAUCCAGCGCUGCGGGAGUACAGAAUUAAGUAAAAGACAAUGAGCGAGAGAUUCCUGGCCCAGCAAAUACAAGCCUGCACUCAGAGACUGAAUUACACUCAUGGAGGAAGCCAGGUCUGCAAUAAACCAGAAUCCAUGUGCCCUGGAUCCCAUCAUCCAUCCUACCUCCAUCCCGGAGCUGGACCAGCAAGGCUGCACCGCAGCUUCAGCCUCCGUUCUGCCAGGUCACUGGUGGCGGUGUCAGCGCUAGGAAUUCCCUUCCUGAUCCCGCCUGAGCUGCUGUGAGAGACUCUGCCGAGGGAAGUCGGGGACAGUACCUCAUUGUCUGUGAAGACAGUCUACAUUCUGCCACUACUUUGAUGAGCUGGUUACUGGGCCACUGCUGCUAAAGGUACCUUGCAAACCUUUUCCUCUCCCCAAAUUAAGCCAAAUUGUAGCAUUGCAUUGAAU